rnacentral:rRNA from 1 species
UACGAAGGGAGCGAGCGUUGUUCGGAAUCACUGGGCUUAAAGCGUGCGUAGGCGGAUUGGUAAGUAAAAAAGUGAAGCCCAGGGCUUAACCCUGGAACUGCUUUUUAGACUGCCUGUCUGGAAUUCGGUAGAGGUUGGUGGAACUCCUAGUGUAGAGGUGAAAUUCGCAGAUAUUAGGAAGAACAACCGGUGGCGAAGGCGACCAACUGGACCGAUAUUGACGCUGAGGCACGAAAGCGUGGGUAGCAAACAGG